CAGAAGUCUAAACUCCAUACUGCUCAGCUGUGCACUGGCUGCGGGCUCCAGGGGAGAAUCUGUUCCUGGUCUCUUCCAGCUUCUGGUGGCCAGCCGCAUUCCUUGGCUCGUGGCUGCAUCGCUCCAGUCUUCAAGGCCACCUCCUCCAUCCCCCUUGAAGACUGAAAAAGGGGAACUUGAAAGAAAAACCGAAAAUUUCAGACCGAGCUAUGGUGCAGGAGACCAUGCUGUCAUCCUGAAGCAGAGGCUGGGGACGUCACCAAGAGGAUCACAGCAUCCUCGAGGGUUCACUGAGGCCACUGCCCAGGCUUUCUUUUCUUUCUUUUUUUUAAUAGAGAUCAGAGUCUUGCUAGGUUGCCCAGGCUGAUCUCAAACUCCUGAGCUCAAACAAUCCUCCCACCUCAGCCUUCUAAAGUGCUGGGUUUACAGGCUUGAGUCACUAUACCGGGCUGACCAGGGACUUUCUUCCUCCCCUCAUUCGAACUUUCUUAGCUCCCACUCAAGUCUUCCUAAAUGCUAUGUGGUAUUCUUAGGACUCCUAAUUCCUAAUUUUUCAGGAAGUGAAAUGAUAUUCUUAAAGUAAAAACCAAAAUCUGCUUUUGCUCAAUUCUUUGAAUUUACUGUAUUUAUAUGCCAUAUAUAGAGAGAGAGAGAAAGAGAGACAGAAAGAGUGCAUGUAGAUAUACACACACAAAUGUAUACACACACACACACACACACACACACACAUCAGAUUGUGGUAGCUUUUGGAAACUCUCUAAGGCACAGAAAAUAAGUUGCCUGACAAGACAUCAAAGAAUUGCAAAAGAGGCCACAGCCCCAAAGGCCUUACUGACUGCUUUGUGAUUUGUAGCAUGACUGCUGAUAAGCAUCUAUUUGCUUCAGUAAAUAGAAGUUGAAUCAUAACAUUUGUUCCAGGAAACAGUAACUGAAGUCGCAAAUCAUAA
rnacentral:lncRNA from 10 species